rnacentral:rRNA from 1 species
AACCGCGGUUAUACGAAAUGGCCCAAAUUGAUAUCGGCGGCGUAAAGGGUGACUAGAAAGUAAUAAACUUAAGCCAAACCCCUCCCUUGCAGUAAUACGCAAAUCGGAGAGAGGAAGACCAUCUACGAAAGUGGCUUUAAUAUUUUUGACCUCACGACAGUUAGGACC